GACGUAGGGCGCGAGCGUUGUCCGGAUUUAUUGGGCGUAAAGAGCUCGUAGGUGGUUCGGUAAGUCGGAUGUGAAAUCUCCAGGCUCAACCUGGAGGGGUCAUUCGAUACUGCCGUGACUAGAGUUCGAUAGGGGAGUGUGGAAUUCCUGGUGGAGCGGUGAAAUGCGCAGAUAUCAGGAGGAACACCCGUAGCGAAGGCGGCACUCUGGGCCGAUACUGACACUGAGGAGCGAAAGCGUGGGGAGCGAACAGG
rnacentral:rRNA from 1 species